CUGCUCUGGGCCUCUGACAGGAGUGUGAGACAGGAGUCAUCGCUGCCAAGGAGCGGCUCUGACUCACGCAACUUCUAUGACGAACCCUAAUAUAUAGCUUCAUCACUUCACACCUUGAGUACUGCAACAACCUCUUCCAAACCUGCACUAGCAACCCAUCUAUCUCAUUGUAUGCAAUUCAAAUUACUCCUCAUCACCUUCAAACUACCUGCAGUAACACAGUUACUGUAUUAAUGAAUACAGUAACAAAUGAAUCCAAAUGCUGUAUUCAUCAAAUAUGGCUCUAAAGACAUGUGACUUUGCAAUUUGUCGCCUUUAAAUUGUCCUCUGUCUCUUUAAGAAGCUCUAAAUGUUUGGGAUUAUUGUACUGUUGCAACAUUCCAUUGUCUCCAAUUUUCAACCAUCUAGUUGUUGAUUUGAUUUGAAGUGGAGUUAGUUUUAUUCCUUUAAUGUUACACAUGCUAUGAGCUUUUACCACUGAUGACAAAACAGUCCCACAACAUAAUGCUGCCACCACCGUGCUUGAUAUUUGGUACAAUGUGCUUAAGUUUGAGAGUUUCAAUUUACACAUCCAAACAUGUAUCUGUUUUCUAUUUGACAAUAAAAACAUUUCCAGAUCAAAUGUA